CACACACACACAAAACUCCCAUACACAGUUCUCGUGUUCCUUGGCUCAAACAGCUUUUGGCUCUCCAUUAUUUGGUUGCAGACCUUGCGGGUUGAAAGUAACGAAUGCAUACAGACUUUCCUCCGCUCUUACCUGAAGCCCACUGACAGGGAAGGAAGAGCCACCGGGGUCUAAGGAUAACUGGGGAUUCCAAAGGAGAUGCUGAGCUCACGUCUCGAGUCUUUCUUGGCUCUGUGAUACCAGCACCAGACACGCCAUUGUACCAUAAGCAUCACCAUCACUUGGGACAAUGGCUCUCAGACUGUGGACUGGGACACCGUGGAGUCACAUGACCUUUUCACAGAGGUUUCCCAAGACUAUCAGAAACACAGAUAUUUACAUUAUAAUUCAUAAUGGCAGCAAAAUUACAGAUAUAAAAUAGCAAUGAAAAUAAUUUUGUGACUUAGAACCAAUAAAGAUGCUUAAAGCUCUC